rnacentral:rRNA from 1 species
GAUGAACGCUGGCGGCGUGCUUAACACAUGCAAGUCGAACGGAAAGGCCCAAGCUUGCUUGGGUACUCGAGUGGCGAACGGGUGAGUAACACGUGGGUGAUCUGCCCUGCACUUCGGGAUAAGCCUGGGAAACUGGGUCUAAUACCGGAUAGGACGAUGGUUUGGAUGCCAUUGUGGAAAGUUUUUUCGGUGUGGGAUGAGCUCGCGGCCUAUCAGCUUGUUGGUGGGGUAAUGGCCUACCAAGGCGUCGACGGGUAGCCGGCCUGAGAGGGUGUACGGCCACAUUGGGACUGGGAUACGGCCCAGACUCCUACGGGGGGCAGCAGUGGGGAAUAUUGCACAAUGGGCGCAAGCCUGAUGCAGCGACGCCGCGUGGGGGAUGACGGCCUUCGGGUUGUAAACUCCUUUCGCUAGGGACGAGGCGUUUUUGUGACGGUACCUGGAGAAGAAGCACCGGCUAACUACGUG